UGCAGUAUAGUAUUAAAAUUUUUUUUUUUAAAUUCUUCCUUUACCUCAAAGCCUUUGUUUUCAGAUAUCCUAUAUGGUAUUCAUUGAGUCUUGUUCUCAGGGAUACUUAAACGCAUAGACUCUGUAUAUACCUUGAGUGACUUUGAAGUACAGAGAGACCUCCUCGACGAAGUCUAACGUCGCUGUUCCUUCAGGACUCACGUACGUUAAGUGAAAUGAGGAUCCAUAUAUGUAACCAUACAUAUAUUCCAUCCACUCCACGUUCCGUCGUUCCUGGACUUUCUUGGGAUUGAGCAUGCUGACGGUUGGGAACGUUCGAAUUAACUCGAACGAAGUAUAGACGUCUGGCAGCCCGAAUUGCUAGAGAAUUCGGAUUGCGAUUUCGCCAGAGCCAGCAGCCAGACAGACAGGGAAACACGUAAUGGGUCAGACACGUUCCAAAGCCUCAGGAUGAAAUCUAAUACCAACUUCGGACCUUCGUCGAGGUGCAAGUAUACUUAUACGAAAGCUUUGAACAUCUCGUACCCACGUUGAAAUUUAUCUGGGAAAUUAUGCAACCGGAAGCUCGGAUGCAGAUAAGACCGUACGUGAUUUCUGCCGUACUCCCUCGCCAUUUAGCCCCUUUAGUUUCGAACUGGGUUAAUCGCUCUUGACAAUACCUUGGAUGUCUGCGGUUUCCAUUAACGAGCUACUUCUGUUUACAUUCUUAACGAUUCAGCCUUUUACGUUACCUGGACCAUUUUACGUGUCUAUAGACACGCGCACAUACAGCCGCUACCAAAUUCUAGACCCAGUUGCCUAAGUUUCAUUAGCCGCAACUGGCAGCUGGCCAAUGGCAUUUCGCCGUGUUCCUCGAACAAUUGAACCACAAAGAACGUCCAAUCUUCCGCGAGCGGGAAGCAGAUGGGAAGAAGCUUUCGCGUUGAAUCGAAGGGACGUGAGUGGAAAAAGAAGUUUGAAUUUUCCAAAGGAUAUAAGAUAGCGGGGUUAAGGGUUAUCCGUGAUACCGGCGUCUGUGCUAAGGAAGCAGAUAAAAAAAGAGAAAGUUAACUUUCUUUUUGUUAAACAAGAAAGAGGUAUUAUGCAAAACACAUAUAACUUUAAUAUCCCUCUACGGUCGUUUCAGACCCACACUCCCCUCUCCUUGCUACCUGUCGUUAUCCCAUAUCGAUCCUAAAAAUAUCAUACUCCCUCUCUCUCUCU